rnacentral:pre_miRNA from 1 species
GGUGGGGAGGUUGAACAUCCUGCAUAGUGCUGCCAGGAAACCCCUAUUUUACAAUAAGAGGGGGCUGGCUGGUUGCAUAUGUAGGAUGUCCCAUCUCCCCGCCCACUUC